rnacentral:rRNA from 1 species
ACGCCAGACUCCUACGGGAGGCAGCAGUAGGGAAUUUUCGUCAAUGGGCGCAAGCCUGAACGAGCGAUGCCGCGUGAGUGAAGAAGGCCUUCGGGUCGUAAAGCUCUGUUGCGGGGGAAAAAAGGCAGCAUCAGGAAAUGGGUGCUGACUGAUGGUGCCCCGCCAGAAAGUCACGGCUAACUCCGUGCCAGCAGCCGCGGUAAUACGGAGGAUGCGAGCGUUAUCCGGAUUUAUUGGGUUUAAAGGGUGCGUAGGCGGAUUUUUAAGUCAGCGGUAAAAUGUCCGGGCUCAACCCGGGCCGGCCGUUGAAACUGGGGAUCUUGAGUGGGCGAGAAGUAUGCGGAAUGCGUGGUGUAGCGGUGAAAUGCAUAGAUAUCACGCAGAACUCCGAUUGCGAAGGCAGCAUACCGGCGCCCGACUGACGCUGAGGCACGAAAGCGUGGGGAUCGAACAGGAUUAGAUACCCGAGUA